AGACAUGGCUAAUUGCCUUAUUCUCCUUGCUCAAGGCCAUAUCAAUAAUACUUUCAAAGAUUCGUCACCAAAGCAAGACGAUAAUUAUGCUGCCGGAGUUUACAACCCGGCCAUCACUGCUAUUGCUGCCACCACCACCAACAACAAAUUCAAUAGUAGAAAAUUCUUGGAAACUGGCUCUCCGGGUUCUGGCAAGGUCGGAUACUAUGUUUAUGAGUGCAAGACUUGUAACCGAGCAUUCCCAUCUUUUCAAGCAUUGGGUGGGCAUAGGGCCAGUCACAAGAAGCCUAAGAACGAUGAAAAGAAGCAGUUUGCUAUAUCUUCUGAUGAAGAAGAUGGACACUUCAGGGAUGUUUCUUCUCUUUCUCUUCAAUUGA
rnacentral:misc_RNA from 1 species